UUCAAUGGUGGCUCAGGCGGGGCAGCCUAAGGGCUGGCCGGGUUCCGAUACGACCGGUAGUCUCAACCCCGUCUGGGCUGCCACCAAU
rnacentral:antisense_RNA from 1 species